CCUACGGGUGGCAGCAGUGAGGAAUAUUGGUCAAUGGCCGUAAGGCUGAACCAGCCAAGUAGCGUGAGGGAAGACUGCCCUAUGGGUUGUAAACCUCUUUUAUGCGGGGAUAAAGUUGUCCACGUGUGGAUGUUUGCAGGUACCGCAUGAAUAAGGACCGGCUAAUUCCGUGCCAGCAGCCGCGGUAAUACGGAAGGUCCGGGCGUUAUCCGGAUUUAGUGGGUUUAAAGGGAGCGUAGGCCGGUCUUUAAGCGUGCCGUGAAAUUUUGUGGCUCAAACAGGGGAGUGCGGCUCGAACUGGAGGACUUGAGUGCGCUGAAGGCAGGCGGAAUUCGUGGUGUAGCGGUGAAAUGCUUAGAUAUCACGAAGAACCCCGAUUGCGAAGGCAGCCUGCCGGAGCGUGACUGACGCUGAAGCUCGAAAGCGCGGGUAUCGAACAGGAUUAGAUACCCGGGUAGUC
rnacentral:rRNA from 1 species